rnacentral:rRNA from 1 species
CGGACGGGUGAGUAACGCGUGAGAAUUUACCUUUAGGAGGGGGAUAACAACUGGAAACGGUUGCUAAUACCCCAUAUGCUUUCGAGUGAAAUGGGUUUCCGCCUAAAGAAAAGCUUGCGGCUGAUUAGCUUGUUGGUGAGGUAAUGGCUCACCAAGGCGACGAUCAGUAUCUGGUUUGAGAGGAUGAUCAGACACACUGGAACUGAGACACGGUCCAGACUCCUACGGGAGGCAGCAGUGGGGAAUUUUCCGCAAUGGGCGAAAGCCUGACGGAGCAAUACCGCGUGAGGGAUGAAGGCCUAUGGGUUGUAAACCUCUUUUUUCAGGGAGGAAUCAAUGACGUGUACCUGAAGAAUAAGCAUCGGCUAACUCCGUGCCAGCAGCCGCGGUAAGACGGAGGAUGCAAGUGUUAUCCGGAAUCACUGGGCGUAAAGCGUCUGUAGGUGGUCAAAUAAGUCAACUGUUAAAUCUUGAGGCUCAACCUCAAAACCGCAGUCGAAACUAUUAGACUAGAGUAUAGUAGGGGUAAAGGGAAUUUCCAGUGGAGCGGUGAAAUGCGUAGAUAUUGGAAGGAACACCGAUGGCGAAAGGCACUUUGCUGGGCUAUUACUAACACUCAGAGACGAAAGCUAGGGUAGCAAAUGGGAUUAGAUACCCCAGUAGUC